GGAGAGGUGGCAGAGUGGUUGAAUGCGGCAGACUCGAAAUCUGUUUUGGGGCGACUCAACGGGGGUUCGAAUCCCCCCCUCUCCG
rnacentral:tRNA from 3 species